AUUGAACGCUGGCGGCAUGCCUUACACAUGCAAGUCGAACGGCAGCACGGGUGCUUGCACCUGGUGGCGAGUGGCGAACGGGUGAGUAAUACAUCGGAACAUGUCCUGUAGUGGGGGAUAGCCCGGCGAAAGCCGGAUUAAUACCGCAUACGAUCUACGGAUGCAAGCGGGGGAACUUCGGGCCUCGCGCUAUAGGGUUGGCCGAUGGCUGAUUCGCUAGUUGGUGGGGUAAAGGCCUACCAAGGCGACGAUCAGUAGCUGGUCUGAGAGGACGACCAGCCACACUGGGACUGAGACACGGCCCAGACUCCUACGGGAGGCAGCAGUGGGGAAUUUUGGACAAUGGGCGAAAGCCUGAUCCAGCAAUGCCGCGUGUGUGAAGAAGGCCUUCGGGUUGUAAAGCACUUUUGUCCGGAAAGAAAUCCUUGGCCCUAAUACGGGCGGGGGAUGACGGUACCGGAAGAAUAAGCACCGGCUAACUACGUG
rnacentral:rRNA from 1 species